GACGAACGCUGGCGGCGUGCCUAAUACAUGCAAGUCGAACGAGAGCACCCGGUGCUUGCACUGGUCAAUCUAGUGGCGAACGGGUGAGUAACACGUGGGUAACCUGCCCAUCAGAGGGGGAUAACAUCCGGAAACGGAUGCUAAAACCGCAUAGGUCUUCGAACCGCAUGGUUUGAAGAGGAAAAGAGGCGCAAGCUUCUGCUGAUGGAUGGACCCGCGGUGCAUUAGCUAGUUGGUGAGGUAACGGCUCACCAAGGCCGUGAUGCAUAGCCGACCUGAGAGGGUGAUCGGCCACAUUGGGACUGAGACACGGCCCAAACUCCUACGGGAGGCAGCAGUAGGGAAUCUUCCGCAAUGGACGCAAGUCUGACGGAGCAACGCCGCGUGAGUGAAGAAGGUUUUCGGAUCGUAAAACUCUGUUGUUAGAGAAGAACAAGUGCUAGAGUAACUGUUAGCGCCUUGACGGUAGCUAACCAGACAGCCACGGCUAACUACGUG
rnacentral:rRNA from 1 species